UACGUAGGGGGCAAGCGUUGUCCGGAAUCAUUGGGCGUAAAGAGCGCGUAGGCGGCCCUGUAAGUCCGCUGUGAAAGUCAAGGGCUCAACCCUUGGAUGCCGGUGGAUACUGCAGGGCUAGAGUCCGCAAGAGGCGAGUGGAAUUCCUGGUGUAGCGGUGAAAUGCGCAGAUAUCAGGAGGAGCACCGAUGGCGAAGGCAGCUCGCUGGGACGGUACUGACGCUGAGGCGCGAAAGCCAGGGGAGCGAACGGG
rnacentral:rRNA from 1 species